CGAGAACCCGCUGGUUUAUUGCGACGGGCACGGCUGCAGCGUCGCGGUGCAUCAAGCUUGCUAUGGCAUUGUUCAAGUACCCACUGGACCAUGGUUUUGCAGGAAAUGUGAAUCUCAGGAGAGAGCAGCCAGAGUGUUAUUGCUUACUGUGAGCUAAGACACUUUUGCCUAACCUCGAAGUCAUGAAGAGAUGUGAACUUUGUCCCCAUAAGGAUGGAGCUUUAAAAAGAACAGAUAAUGGGGGUUGGGCCCAUGUGGUUUGUGCCCUGUAUAUUCCAGAGGUACAAUUUGCCAAUG
rnacentral:sRNA from 1 species